CGGAGUAUAGCAUAUAUAAUGCUUUUUACUUACACUAAAAAUAAAGUCAAACAACUUGCUUCGC
rnacentral:tRNA from 1 species